rnacentral:tRNA from 1 species
GCGGGUAUCGUUCAAAGGACAGGACAGAACGCUACGAACGUUCAGAUUGGGGUUCGACUCCUCAUGCCCGUACCA